AGGCUCAGCUUCCAUCACCGCGUGGCGGAGCCCGUGUCCGGGCCAGCCUCAAAGAUCCCUGGCAAGACAGGCAAAUAAGCCCUUCAAAGGGAACCUGGCUGAGGCGCCCUGGCUCCUGGAGGGGUGAGGUGGCUCUCGGUAAUUCCCCAGCCCAGCCUGUGUGCCUUCUCUAGACUCAGCAGCCAUGGCCCAUUACAAGACCAAGCAGGAUGACUGGCUGAUUGUCUACCUGAAGUAUUUACUCCUUGUCUUCAACUUCUGCUUCUGGAUGAGUGAAUUCUGCACACACAUCCCCUUUCCCGAGCACUGAAUGAGUCAAGCCACCUUUGUUUUUUUGCUGACUUUGAGACUUUUCUGAUGGUGACUCAUGAUAUGCAUGGAAGCAUAAGAAAUGCUCACACGAAACAUUCAGAAAACUAAACUUACCCUUACGGUAUAUGAUGCUGUGAUGGUUAACACUGAGUGUCAACUUGAUUGGAUUGAAGGAUGUGAAGUAUUUUUCCUGGGUGCGUCUGUGAGGGUGUUGCCAAAGGAGAUUAACAUUUGAGUCAGUGGACUGGGGCAGGCAGACCCACCCUCAAUGUGGGUGGGCACCGUCUAAUCAGCAGCCAACAUGGCUAGAAUAAAACAGGCAGAAGAACAUGGAAGGACUUGACUUGCUGAGUCUUCUGGCCUUCAUCUUUCUUCCAUGCUGGAUGCUUCCUGCCCUCGAACAUGAGACUCCAAGUUCUUCAGCUUUUGGACACUUGGACUUACACCAGUAGUUUGCCAGGGGCUUUUGGGCCUUUGGACACAGCCUGAAGUCUGCAAUGUCGGCUUCCCUACUUUUGAGGUUUCGGGACUCGGACUGAUCCACCACUGGCUUCCUUGCUCCUCAACUUGCAGACGACCUAUUGUGGGACUUUACCUUGUGAUCCUCCACCCAGCCCCACGGUGGGCCUUGCCUCGUCUGUUAGGUGGUAUUUUCAUCUUUGGUCAGAUGACAGCCCCCAUGCUCCAAAAAUUCUCCUGCAGCCAGGGCUUGGAGAAUCCCGACCCCUCUCUGGCAUGAACCUCUCCUCAUCCAGGGUGGCUUGUGUGGUAGAGCCAGGGGAAUGGAGAAGAUGACCUCUGAAGCCUGAAGGCUCUUUGGGAAGCAGGACACAAACAUCCUGAAGAGCCAGCCUUGAGCUGGCUGCACAAGAGACUCAUAGACUUUGCGUCAACAUCCACCUCUCCAGGCUGCAGUGGGUGUACCUGUUCACCACCACCUCCAGCAGCACUGUCGCAGCGGAGCAGUUCUUACAGCCAAUGAGCUUCCACACCACCUCCCUGCAGUUCUCUGCAACCGAGGCUCCAUCCUGCACUGAUGGGCUGCCUGACACGUCGGCCUCAACAAGCAUUUCCAGCACAUUCUCAGCUUUCCUGCUCUGCUGGGCAAAACACAGGGUGAGAAGGGGAGAGGAAGAACGGGACUGUGGCCCAGUUCUAGGCUUGGAGUCUAGCGAGGAACACCAGGUGCCUGCAUUAAAAGGAAUGGCUUGAGGCUUCCAAAUUCACAUCCUCUGGUUUGCACAAACAGGCCAGGCAGCUGCACCUCUGAGCUGCCUCCAGUCCAUGGUUAAUUGCCAGAAAAUAAUUCGCCCUGAGGUCAUUGCCGUUUAAACAGCUGGCUUCGUCUUUUCCUGUUUGGCCGGUCGUUCUGGGCUCCCUGGCCCUCCCUCCACCUGCUUCUGUGAUCCUCUCAAACACAGCCGGCUGGGAGCCUCAGGCUGGGCUCUUCUCCCUCCAGCUUAACUUGGCGACGUCUUGAUCCUUGUGUUGUGCUGAUGCGAGGCUGUUCUGGGAAUAGGCUAGUCCCUCCACCUUGUCGUGACCUGCCUGGACACCGAGCCUCCACCAUCAGGCUAUCACUUGCAGGAAAUUUUGCAAACCCUGUGUCUCUCUAAUCAUACAGGAUGGUUGGAGAGACAAAAGAGGAAAAUGAAUGCUUCCACGAAGCUCCCUCUUUGUGGCAGAAUCAGUCCAAUGGAGAAAUUCUGAAAUUCCAGUUUUACAAAGUUCUUCAAACUUACCUCAAGGAUGGCACCAGCUGAAGCUCAGUUGCCCUGUCUCUUAUGCACCAGUGCAUCUGCCCCAGAAACUCUUAUCUGGGGCUCAGUUUGCCCCCAUGUGGUAUAAGUCCCUCCAAAGAUUCCAUUUCUAGUUACUCGUCUCAAUGUCACAAUGAGAAAUAUUUCUGCAUAUUUCCUGCAAAGCGUCUCAUUAAAGAAAGUAUUGGUUUGAUUCAGAAAAUGCUAUGCUGUUCCAGCUUCACUUUGGAUCUAUAGUUUUAGAAAGUAUCCAACUCUGCUUCUAGUUUAAGCUGCCCUGUUAAAGAGUUAAUGGAAAAAACCCCACUAUGGUAUGAGGAAGGGGUGGGAAUUAACGUUUGGGUCCCAUUCUGUGCCUAAAACACUGGUUCCCUCUAUGUUUUGAGCCUGAAAUUGAGUCGUUCUUAUGGAAGGCAGAUGCUAGAGGAGCUUUCUUUGGGAUUCUCAUUACCCGUUUCCAUCAGACCAGGCCAUUAGAUGGUUGCUUCUAGAAGGAUGGUGCAGCCCUGAGUCUGCAGGGGGCAGACCGGUCACAAAAACCAGAGUGGAGCUGGGGGUCAGACUGGAGUUCAUUGGGUAGGUUCAGUUCACACCCUGGUGCACAGGGUCCACGAAGGCACAACAAGGCACAGGUGAGAGCCAGGAGGGCAAGCAGGGAUCCAAGUGUACACAGCCCAGGGAGCAAGACAAGCAGAGAGGCCUGGAGCCAGAAGGAGGCUCGGAAACAACGAUGCCAGCAGUGAGCUCACGGGUCAGAAGCUUCUGGCCCAAGGCUUUAUGGAGGCCAUGCCUGAGCUGAAUAUUGGUGGCUGAGCAGCCAAUAAACGGAACACAGAUGGGGCCAGGGCAGGGAAUUCCAGGCAGGAGGAACAGCCAGAGAGCAAAGGCAGGGAGGCUGGAAGCUUUGCUGUGUGAGGAUCUGUGUACACACAGGGAAUGCUUCACAGGCUGUAGAGACAGUGACUAGCUUCUGAGAUCAGAGUAGGCUGGGCUGAGUAAUGGGAAGGGUGGAGGGGGCAGAGACCCACAUUACAGCCCGUGGCCCUGAACCCAGGACAAGCCACGGGGGUGGAGGAGCAGGCAGGAGAUGCUCCACCACUGCUGGCAAGGAGCAGGGCAGCCUGCCCAAGGGGGUACUGCCUGGAGCAUCACUGACUUACCCCAUCUGCUGGCGAGGAUACAGAAGCUCAGCCCACAGGGCCACCAUGGAUGGCCCUAAAGGUUGUGUCCUAUGCAAGGGGACCACAGAAGGCUGGUGCCCUGGACAGUUGGCAAGAGGCUGAGCGCAGGGCAGUGAGGGAUGCUCGUGUGCCUGGGGAAAGCUUCCCUGGGCUUCCCUUUUUUUUCUCCAUCUUCACCCUCUCACCCCUCACCCCUCCUGACACCCUGUCCCUUGGGGGAGCACCUAACACCCCUGUGUCCACCUGAACCACACCAGCCCUAACGUGCUGAAUCCCCGCUAAAUGAGCCCAGUGCUCAUCCAUCCAUCCGCGCAUCCGUUGUUCAGUGGGGAAAGUAGCACGUAGCAGGUCCGAGCACAGGCUCUGCAGCCAGAAUUCCUGGGUUCCAUGCCUCACCCAGCCACGUAUUUGCUGUGUGACCUCAGGCAAGCUACUUAGCUUCUCCACGCACGUGUGCUCAUCUAGAAAACGAGGCUGAUGCUCGUGCCCACGUGGCAAUGUGAUGAGUAAUGCUAGUACUCAUCUCUGAGGGUGGAUGGGAGAGACACGCAAAGUGUUUGCAAGGGGGCCGGCACCUGGGAGCACUCAUACAUGUUGGCUGUCACUGUCAUGGAGCACCACCGUGUGCCGGGCUCUGCUUGGUGCUCCUGGGCUGCUCACAUGAGCAAGGUGCUGACUCUGCCAAGGAAGGGUGCUUUUUUUUUCUUUUGGAGAAAGAAAAGGGAUGCUUUCUGCUGCUCCCGCCCUGAAAACACUGCGUGCCCCUCUGCUCUUCUCCUACUAGGCUUGAGAAGCAAGACCAGCACACCCUGAGUUGGGGUGUUGCCUCCUAAGCCACUGGCCAGCAAUUCUGGGGGGGGGGGUGGGGACGCUGAAGAGAAUGCGGGGCUCUGCUGGUGCAGCAUGGACCCUCCUUGGUCUGGUGAGCUGGGAGAAGCAGGACAGCAUGGGGUCCAGUGAUACUAACCGUGUGGAAAUAGAACUCCUCCAGAUUACAGGGCACCUGAGAAUUUCUUACUGACUUUUGUUUAAUAAUUCAAAAACACAUCAAAUCAAACUUAAUCAAGGCAAAAGCUGUCUCUGGAGCCUUCUUCGUGCUUCCUGGAGUCAAGCUCUUACAGAAUCACGGCAGCACCCCCCUCCCUAGCUCACGAAGGAAGCUGGAGGACUCCACAGCUGCUUCAGGAAACAGACUGUCCCCAGGGAACCCUUCAGAGAUCUUGGGACCAGACAGGAUGUACCUGGACUCCUGGAAUUCCCUCUCCAGCCUCCAGGUCCCGUGAGGAUGUGAGCUGGAGCAGUACGGGCUUCCCUGAUCCUUCCUGUGUCCAGACAGCCAACAUGUGCCGCGGGAGCCCUGAGAUGAUUCCGAUGCACGGAGGGAGCCGGGAAACGCUGGGAUGGUCUAGAGAAUGAAUCCAUCUGUCAGAGGCAUCCAAGAAGAAAGGCCUGGGCCAGGAUCACAUGGAAGACCCUGAAGACAGGAUCGGGUCUUGCCUGCCUGGAUUGAACAGAGACGCAGUGACCAGUCCCAUCUGCUCCCACCCUGCUGCCCUCUGAAUCGAGAGUUUGAGGCCAUGACCAGGGUAACGUUCAGCUGGUAGAGACAACACAACCCUGCUGGCUGUUUAAGCCAUGCUGGAGUGGUGCUCACAGGGUAACAAUUGUAAGUAUUUUGAAUAUCACCUCUUAAUCAAAAUUAAGAUCAAUAGACAUUUCAGUUUCUGGUGUCUAGCCUCACCUCCGCCUCCCACCACCUCUGGCUGCCACCCUUUACCUGAGCCUCCCAGCCUCCCUCAGCUCUGCCCAGUGCACCUGCGCCCUGAAUCAGGGCCCAGCUUCUGUAACCUCCUCUUUAUGGCCAUCUUCUGCCCUGUUUCCCACUGAUAGUCAUCGCACCAUCCACAGGCCACAGUGCUCUAGAGUUAGCUGGGGAGGCCUGGCAGCAGGCCUGGGUGGUAGGCAAGGGUGGGGUGGUCCCGCUGAUGCCAUCUUAUCACUCCUCAGCUGAGUGAUGAACAGAAGCAGCACUUGAGCCAGACUCUGACCAAGAACUGCGGGCAGGCUAGAGCCACACAGAUCCCCGCCUCAGUAGACCGGCUGCAGCAGGAGGUACACCAUGCCCUAUGGCCUUGAAGGCCAAGCAGACACAGGUUCAAAUCCUGACUCUCUUCUUUCCUGUCUGUGUGGCCCUGGCAAGUUACUUACCCUCUCUGAGCCUCGGUUGCCACAUCCCUAAAAUGAAGCCUCUUUAGGGUAUGUGAGCAUUAAAUUCGGUCACACCUGUAAAGUCCCUACCACCGUGAGAAGUGCCUGCUGAAGCCUGGUUCCUCUCCCUCCCUCUCCUUGACUCCCUCCUCCAAACCCACCCCUGCUGUCUUCCCGUUCUGGGUCCUGGUGGGCAGGAAGCUGGCAGUACCAGGAGAACUCCAUCUCCUGCCAGGAUCUGGGCCAGGAAGCCUCUCUCCGGGUUUCUCCUGUCUGUAAGGCUGCCUUCCUUCUUCCCUGGGGAGCGGGGAGCUGAAGCCCCAUAAAAGGGAGCGCUACCCGACGGGGGUAUUUCAGCUAAGCCACCAACAGAACUCCCCAGUUGUGAGCCAGCAGGCAGGAUGCUGAGGGACAGAAAGGUGGUCUCCUUUCCAAGAAAAGAUGCGGCAGAUCCCUCCAGCGAGGCCCACCAUCCUGCCAGACAUAGGGGGCGGGCAGUGGACCUCAGAGCUGUGCUGUCCAAUACGGCAGCCACCGCCCACAUGUGGCUAUUUACAGUUAAAUUAAACAAAAUCCAGUUCCUUGCUCGCACCAACCACAUUUCAGGCACUCAGGAGCCCCAGAUGGUGAGUGAACGCGGAGCUGGGCAGCACAGAUGCAGGACGCUGCCUCCAUCGCAGAAAGUUCUCCUGGACGCCACUGUUCCAGAUCCUGAUGGUUCAAGUGCUACGGAUGCAAUAGCUCAGCGACUGGCAGCGCAGCACGUACCUGCUGUCGUGGGAGGUGAGAGCCACCAGUGCCCGACAGCGGCUGCAAGGCAGUGGUGGCGCUCUGCAGCCAGCCGGCCCACCCCUCCAACAUCUGCAAGGGGGUGGUAAGUGCCCCAGCGCAAGCUGGGGACAAGGAAAGGGCCCCAGCCUGGCCUCCAGGAGCCCCCAAAGGGCUGGGGUCAGGCAGAUGGGUGUGGGAAUAGCAGAGCACACAUGAUUCUUGGCCAUGAGCCCACAGUGCCAGGCCCCUCAGACGCUCUACAAAGCCCUGGGACAAGCAGCUCCUGCUGAGAGAGUCCAGGGCACCAUGGCAUGCUCCUGGGGCCACCCACGAAACCUGUGAGCCACUCAAGGCCAGGUCCAGCCCAUGAGUCCUCUGGUCCACCCUCUGCCUCUGCCAUAUGCACCGGGACGGCCAGCCCUUCCUCCCCACCUGUGCCUGCUUCUGAGCCAAAGCCAUGACACCUGCCCUUCCCUUGCAGGGAGGCUGCCUCACCAAGCUACCUGCUACUCAUGGGGGCGAUGGGCAUCAGGGUGGCCUGCCUGGAGCCCCGAGAGCACAUAGAAGCUGCCAGAUGAGGGCAGUGAGGCCGAGGGCCGGCAGUAGGGCUGCAGAUGCCCUGAGCCCUAAGGUCAAGGUGGAUGGAACUGCUGUGUAAGUCUGAUGCCGAGGAGACCAGGUCGUUGGGCUUUCAGGUGAGUGGACGCUUUCUCCCCACUCACAACCCCCACCAUGCAGUCUCUGCUCCUCCAUGGUCACUGUGGAAUGGCUCCUGAUGGCGCUCAACCCCUUGCCCUGUUUUCUCCCCUGCGGUCCACUGAGCCAGCCCUGCGGCCGCCAAGUCUCAGGUUAGAGCUCCCUCUCGCGGCCGAUGCUGGGCACUACAUUGCCCAAGACCCAGGUGGGCCGAAGUCUUGAGAAAGGGCUCGCAGUCAUCGUCGCCAGCAGGCAGACACCAGGCACCUACCUCCCCGACAUACCCAGCCUGGUACCUCGAAGACCAGUAGCCUUGAGCUACACUUGGGAUUCCCAAUACAGUUUCAAAACCGUCUAGCUCAUCUUUCAGGAACCUUCCAGGGUUCACAUUCUGAUUUUUCAGUAAGGUUCUCACCUCUGUGACCAAUUACCUUGAGACUGAUGUCCUGCACCAUCCUGGAGUGUUGGGAUCUGCAGGUCGUGAAAAGGGAAACCAAGCAAUCACUUUGGAAUGACUUCCUGGAACUUCCCUGGCCCCUCCUUCGUGUUCUCUGAUGACAGCCAGGAGCUGACUCAGAAACCUCAUAAGAAGCUGAAGGCAUGACGACUUCCCUGUUAAAAAAAAAAUGUCCCACGUGUGGCCGAGUGCCACACCCAGGCAGCUGCCGAAAAAAAGCACCAGACACCAUGCAGCUGGGCCCCAGGGCCCGGCCCAACCCGGUUGGCCUUCUCCGGCACCUGCAGGGAACUUGUCCUGUCUUGUCUCUGCUCGCCCCCUGCUGGCUGCCUGGAGCCAUUCCGUGCUGGUUUCUUCGCGUCUUCUGUCAGGAGAGAGAUGCUGAUGCUUACUCAGGGAUCCGGCGGGUCAGUAUCCUGUGCCCUCUGCACGAUUCAGGGUGGGGGUGUGCGCGUGUGUGUGUGCAUGUGGACCCACAUUGAUGAGUCUGGCCCAUACACCUCCACCCUUAUUGGACCUCUCCUGGGAGCACCCUGGGAACACACAUCUCAUGCAGAAGUGUGUCUCUUGAGAGCCUAGCUCCUCCUGUCCUCCCCCAGCAUCAGAUGUACACUGUACGAGACGUGAAUUUUGCUUACAGCACAAAUCUGUGCUGGCCUAACAGCUCCCUUCUGGCCUCCCCCUUAGCAUGGAUCAGAAAGAUCCAGAAAGUGCACAGGAAAAUCAUCAACCCAUGAGGUGGGGACAGGGGAAGAGGGCAUGCCGCAUAACACCUACGUGGGUGGAGGGGCUGUGACAGCCACUUGCUUAAGCUGGUGGGACAUGAAAUAACCUCCUAAGCCACAUUUCAGCUGUGACCCUGAGGCCCCGAGGUGGAUUAACAGAGCCCUCAGCACCGAGUCUCCAAGCUGAAGGCAGUGGUCACACUCCCUGCUGCCCUCCAGGUUUGGAGGGAUGGAGAGGAGAGAGGAGGGGAAGAAGCUACCUUCUUCACUAGCCUUGCUGAGAGACAAGUGGGUACGGCCCACAGGCACCUCCACCAGCCUGCCCUCUACAUCCAGAUUCGCAAGGAUGGGUCUCAUCUGCUGCUUGCACCGAGGCUCCAGCGACAUUUUUACUCAUGGUCAACUGCGUCCCCUGCCAACUGCCCUUCGAAGGACAGGCGCCACAUCCACCUGCCAGGCCUGCAGCAUUAGCACCAGCUCCACUAGGGCCACAGAUGCCCCCUCCUCUGUGUCCAGCCCCUGCAAAUGCACCAAGUGCCUUAGACCAUGGCUCCCCACCUAGGCGGGGACCCUCAGCCCCCUCCCCUCCAUUUCUGAGCCCUCACAGCCAGAGCCUUGGCAGGAGAAGGACCCUCACCAGGCACGGGGGUGCCGGGGACCACAGGAGGGUGAUAUUUGGGCCCUCUGCUCCCUCCCAGCUCCCAAACCUGGGACAAGGCUGAAAACCCGGGUCCCCUGGGAUGCCUGCAUUCUGGGCAGGAUCCCCACCAGUGCUCAGAAGCCCUCGCUUUGCUGUCCCCUCUGGGAAAUGCAUGGGGUGGGACAGGUAGGAGUGGCUCUUCCCCUAGAUGACCUAGCUAGCCCUUCAACCUGCCUACUCCCCACACUGCCUCACCUGGAAAGCCGUGUCCUGCUGGCCUCACUCCUUCCUGCAGGGCCUGGAGGUGGGGAGGCCAGAGGCAGGGCAGUCACAGGCUGGGUGGAGCUGCCAGGGCAGGGAUGUGGGGUAUGCUGGCCACACUAGCACAUGCUGCACCAGGAGCAGAGCCCUGCACCCUGCCUAGUGGCUUUCCCAAGAGAAACCCCUCUGGGAGACCCUGGCUCCAAGCCCCGGCCUCUAUAGUAAUAUGCCCCUCGGGGAUCUCCUGGUCUGGGGCCUGAUUCUCAGGAAUGCCAGUGGGUUUUUUGUUUUUGUUUUUGAGGCAGGGUCUUGCUCUGUCAUCCAGGCUGGAGGGUAGUGGCGUGACCAGGGCUCACUGCAGCCUUGACCUCCCAGGCUCAAGCGAUCCUCCCAGCUCAGCCUGCUGACCAGCUGGGAUGAUAGGCAGGCACCACCACACCUGGCUAAUUUUUUAAACUUUUUGUAGAGAUGGGGUCUCCCUAUGUUGCCCAGGCUGGCCUCAAAUUCCUGGGCUCAAGCCAUCCUCCCACCCUGGCCUCCUAUAGUACUGGGGUUACAGAUGUGAGCCACUUCGCCCAGCUGAGGCAUGCCUGGUUUCAAAACUAUCUUCAGCUCUUAAUGUUGGUGGGUGUAAAACUCAUCCCAGCGUGGACUAAAUCACAGGCCCUGCAGAGUUGGAGGGCUGAGAAGGGGCAGCUCUGAAUACAGGGGAUCUGCCCGAACCUCACUUUUCCUGGGGCCCCUCUCCCCAACCCUGGGGCCACCACCGUGUUGCUUCCAGAGGGUCUCGCUCUCCUUCCCUUUUUCCGCCCGUCCCAGGCUGGAUAGAGUCCCUUCCUUUGGUCCUGUCUUGCAUCUGUCUUGAAUUAGGCAGGGAGUUUUCAGGAAGAACUUUCCCAAAUACUAAGGGAGAACAGAGAGGAAAUCCUAUGAAAUACAGAGUAUUCAUGCUGGCAGUCUCAUGAAGGGUAGGUAUCAACUUUUGCGACAACCAUAGGUACCCCCCUAAAUGGCUAUUACAAGUGGGCACCUUGAGCAUAACACGGGAACCCCACGCCUGGCCUCCAUACCUCCCAGGUCCUGCACUUCUCCCCAGAGGUGGGCCCUCUUCCCCCUAAAGCACAGCGCCUUGUGAUGCGAAGGCCGAGGCUGGGAGAGGUCACACCUGGUCUCUCCACAUGUUCCAGCUCCCAGCCUGCUGAGCACAGCCCUUGCUGACCUGGGCUGGCCCUGAGGAGGGGUGUGCUUGCUCCCGUACACAGGAGUGACCUGAAGGCCCCUCACUGUGGUCACAAACACAGCCCUAAACUGUCCAGAAACUGUAUCCUCAGAGCGGGAAGUGCCCACGUGGACAGAGAGAAAGCCAGCCUCUCGGGGCAGAUUGCCGCCUCUACUGUGAGGAUUCUCCAGGGGCUACCGAGAGGCUGGGCUGGUUUAUCUCCUCUGCCUAGAAAGGCCUGGGGUGGCCAAUGUGAACUCAUUAAAAGGAAAACCAGCUUUCCCAGAAAUGACUGCUCCACGGCCAAGAGAAACAGUGUGACGUGAUUAUCCUUGCUGCCCUCCAAGCUGGGCUUCGUGCAGAUCAUCGAAAACUGAUCGUGACUCCCCAGAGCUCUGAAGUGCUGCAUAUCAACUGACAAGACCUACAGACUGAGGGCUGAGAAAGAGGGAGCGUGCUGGGCCAGGGUCUUGUUCUUCCUGGUGGGGCACCAAGAGAGGCAGCAGUGGGUAGGAGGGCUAUGGUUUGACCUGUCUGCCCUGGCAGGGAUGGGAGACAAAGGUGGCAGCCCAGGAGAGCCUGCCCCGUCGGCCCCAGCCCCAUGUGUUGGGUUGGGCCAGCCUGACUGGAGGCAGGAUUAGCUGUGAUUCCUGCACUGGCGGUUGUCCAGCCCAGAUUUCCGUUGGGGAGAUUGGCUGGUCCAAGCUGCAGAAAGUGGUAGGACAGCCCAGAGCUUCUUGGAAAUACGACCUCCAUGUCCAGGCCAGCAGCCUGGGAGAUGAGACAGGGUUGGAGGAAACAGAGGCCCAAGACAGGGCAGGUUCUGCCUAGGAAUGCACAAUGGCUGGAGUCCAGAGCCCAGGAUGCAGCCCCAGCUGGGUGUAGCCCUCCUGCUGCCCAGGGUGGAGAUGGAUGCCCAGGGCAGGUCCUCCCGGGCCCCUGCUUGGAGGCCAGCAGUCUUGAGUUCCUUGGAGAGAGAGGACAUGCCUGUGGAAAGUCAUCACCAGUCCUGUAUAGGGCAAAAGCCUCCUGCCCACCAGGGCCUGGGCAGAGAAGCAACAGGUACUGGGAUCCCACACAGCUCAGGCCAGCACGUCCACACCCUGCACACGCCAUGCCACCAUUCCCCAAGGGGCGGACACCAAGACAGAAGGGUACGUCCGUCCCUGUGUCCCCCGCAUGACGAGUGUUGGUGGGAGGCAGGGAGUGGACAGGGAUGGAACCUGGCCUUGGGGGAGGGGAUGAAGUGUGUGUGCCCAUUCCUCUCUUUCCCCCGCCACACUCCCCGACAGUCUAGCCUCAACCCCGGGAGCCCUCCAGGCAGGGCCACCUGCGGGGUGUCUGGCGAAUGCCUUGUACUUACUGAGGGCCUGCUGUGCACUUAGAACGUGCUACUUGCCGUCAGUACAUUCGCUUGCAGUUACUCCAACAAAAAGGUAUUUCCCCCAUUUUACAGGUGAGGAAAUUGAGGCUCAGCAGGGUUAAGAGGCUUGCUGGUCAGCAAUAAUGGCUGUUGUCUUGCCACCCCAGCCGGGUAGAAAGAAGCAAAGCUGAGCUGGGAGCCCCCUGUCCUCCGCGUCCCAUGGUUCUCCAUCUCUGUAACAAGUGCUCAGGCUGAGGUUCAGAAACAAAGUGUCCCUCAGGGCACCAUCCGAUAGCAGCAGCUUCGGCACCCCCUCCCACCAGGUUGAACGGAAUCUGGCAUCUGGGCCAGGUGCCAGCUGCCCUGCACAUGUGCGUGGUGCAGAAGCCUAGCUUAUUUCAGGCUGACAGCCGGGCCCCCCUGGAGCAGGGGCUCAGGCAGCAAGCGAGCCUGGCAACAGCCCGGCCCAUCGUCUCAGGUGCCAAUGCUGGCCCCGCAGUGAGAGCAGGGACUGGCCCUCAGCCCUCGGAGCCUUCACACAGGGUGUGGAAUCUCAUGCCCGUGUGGAGAUCACUGGGGGUUGGAGAAAACCUCAGGUCACGCCCCCUGCCAGAGCCAGCCUGGGCAGGGAGGGGACGCCUGGGGGUGUGUUGACCACCUCCCCCUCAGGCGACACCCCUCUCUGCCUUCUUUCUCCAUGCUAUACGAAGCGCCUGCUGCUGCCGGGGCUCUGGGGUGGACACUACUUUCUGUUUUGGGAAGUUCACCUUGUGCACGGCCAAAGGCCCUGACAGCCAGAAGGGCCCAAUGUGGCCCUGGGGGCAGGGGGGCCAUGGUAUGUCAGUAUGAUGUGCCCGGGACCCUCCAGCCCUGUUGCCAGCUUUGGUCUCAGAGUCUGCCACUCCGGGCCCCUCUUCAAGGAUUUCAGGCAGGGGCAGUGAGGUGGAACAGUCACCAUCACCACCACCCACCCUAGGACCUGCCUUGAAAACAUGCUCCGUGUACUGGCCACUCUGAGCCUGAGGAAGGAAAGGGGCUUUGACUGGCUGCAGAGACAACCAGUCUCUGGUACCGCCGCUGGGUGGUGCUUACAUCUGCUGAGAACGUCGUGACCAAGCGUCUAAGCCAGGAGUGAUCAAACUUGAGUCAGCAUCACCUGGGGGGGGAUGCUUUUCCAGAUUGCUGCCUCCACCACCAGAGUUUCUAAUCAGGAGAAGCAGAGCAAAUAACUUGCAUUUCUAACAAGUCCCCAGGGGCUGCUGCUGGCCCUGGAACCACACUUUAAGAACCACUGCUUUAGACCACGCCCCAGGGACACUGCCACCCCCCUCAGGGUUUAAAAGUCCCUCAGGCUGCCCAGCUGCAACUGUCCCCCUACCUCCAUCGUGGGGUUGGGGAUGAAGCAUGCCGCUAUGGUCGCUCACAGCCGACCAGGAAAGCCUUCGCACUGUGCAUCUGUGCGGCGCCUGCCCUGCCCUGCCCUGCCCUGGACGGCUCUUGGAUGGUCUGUGGCCUUGGCCAGGAGACCCGGUGGCUGGGUCCCUUCCUGGAAGGAGACAGAUUACACUCCCCAGCCUGCUUUCCCACCACCUCCUAUGUGCCCUGGGAGAGGCACGACAACAUCCUUGUUGCUCCCUUUUCCUACUUUUUUAAAGUUUUUUGUAGAAACAGCGUCUCCCUAUGUUGCCCAGCCUGGUCUCCGAUUCCUGGGCUCAAGUGAUCCUCCUGCCUCAGCCUCCCAAAGUGCUGGGGUUACAGGCAUGAGCCGCUGUGCCCUGCCUCCCUUUUCCUGCUUCAGCACAUGGCCCAGCCCAUGCUCCCUGCCUCCCAUGGGCCUUGCCUCCUCCUGCUUAUAAACCCGGGACUCCCCUUCCCCAGCCCGCCCUGUGCAAGUGCGGCUAAUCCUUCAGGCAGCCCAGUGUCAGCAAGGCCAGAUGGGCUCCUGGAACCAGCUGGCCCAUGGAUGUGGGUCAUCACAGUAUUCCAGAAACAGAGACGAUGGCUUAACCUACUGCAUAUAGAGAAACUGCUCUCAUUGUAAACACACCCCUCUCCAUAGCUGACCUCAGUGUAAGCCCAGCUUCACGUGCUAGGGGCAUGGUAAUGAAUAAUAAAGGAUUCUAUCUAGACUACCUCUGUUGAUUUUUUUCCCUCCACUGCGAGGAAACCCCUGCCAUCAGUUCACCAAAUGUAUGGUGACAUCCUGAAGCCACGUUAGCUGUGGCUUCCCCCUGAGUAAACCCGCUGGCCACAUUGCGCAGGGUCCUGCUUACCCUUCUGUCAGCUCUGGUCAUGAUUUGUUUGAAUUGACUUCUUCUGCUCACAAGUGUCAUUAGCUCCUGGCUGUCAGCGAGAGCCAGGCUCAAACAUGUGUACUUGAAUUGUGUUCCUUGUAAAGCUUUCUGUCUCUGGUCAGUCAAUAUCUUCACACCGUUUACCAGGAUGCGCAACCAGCCUGUUAAGAAAUCUGCGGUGAGCCUUUCCCCACUUCGUGCACGGCCCUCUGCCUGGAUGCAGGAGAGGCAGAGUGUGGGGAGAGGUCACAAGCAAUGGGGCUCCCCCUGGCUGAGACACACACUCCUACUGCCACCUGGACCCCCAGACGACCUCACUCCACAAUGACAGGGUUUCUCCACCUUGGACCAGCUGGUUCGUCCUCAUCCCCAGAUCCAGAGUUGGACACCUUUUCAUCUCAAUGCAAAAAGACGAAUCUUUGCUGAGGCCAUCAGGCUGCCCAGCGCAAGGAAAAAGAAAUACGCUUUCCCUUCUAUGACAUGGACACUCAUUCUCUCUCAUUCACUCUUCUGUCUAGAAAACUUGCUUGAGGUGGGGUGGGAAGCCUGAAGAGUACCCGGGUAAGCGGAACUCAGGGGAUCCCCAGACAGAGGGGUGGGGGUGGCCUGGGAGGCAGCUGAGAAUGGAACCGCACACCUGGUGUGGUGUGAACCCGACGCAGCCUGGCCACGUGCUGUGUGAACAGGUGGAUCCACCCGAGGUCCAGCGGGGACCCGCUUCGCACGAGAGCCCCAGCCCUGCCCCGCUCUCCUGUGUCUUCAGGACCUCCUUGGCCAAUGUUCAGUCGUUCACUCAACGGCCACAGCAGCAGCCUCUGACUGUCUGGAUGUUGAACAGGGGAAGGAAGCCAGCCCAGGGCACGCUCACCGUCAUCUGUCCCAUUGGACCUGGACAUCUACUCACCUCCACCAUCACUGAGAGUGUGUGUGUACCGAGGAGGAACAAGUACCACUCCAGGACCCUCCCUGCUGCACAGCACUGUCAGUGGUUGGUGACUGCUGUCCCCACAGCCCUGGGCCUUGUCAUCCGGGCAGGCAGCAAGAAGCUGUGCUGAAGCUGUGCCUUGGUGGCUGCCGGCUGGCCUGUCAGCUGCCACUACUUCCUAGCAGGUACUGAUGCCUCAUGUCAGCCCCAGCUGGGCUGUCACUGCUGCCUCAGGGUGCCUCGAGCUGGGGACCCUGGUUCUCAUUCUCUCUCCACAACUGAAAAGAGUGAGGCUGCUGGUGGGGAGGCGAGGGCACAGGGGCCAACAGCCAUUUUCCUCUUAAAAGCAAACACAUGAGGCCGGGUGUGGUGGCUCAUGCCUGUAAUCCCAGCACUUUGGGAGGCCGAGGCGGGCAGAUCACUUGAGGUCAGGAGUUCGAGACCAGCCUGGCCAACAUGGUGAAA
rnacentral:lncRNA from 1 species